rnacentral:tRNA from 1 species
GCACCCGUAGCUCAGCUGGAUAGAGCGUUGCCCUCCGAAGGCAAAGGGUCACACGUU